UUUUUUUAAAAGAAGUGCUUGGCCAAGCUUUUAAUAAACAAGUGUGGGGGACAAAAUUCAGCUGGUAUAACCUUUCAGAGGAAGUGGCUAACAGUAAAGCCACGUGAAACAUGGGACUUUAGGUUUGUAUUAGCUAAGACAUAUACAUACCAGAAAUUCUUGAAAGGACAGGCAGCAAAGAAAGGCAGAUGUCAUAUCAUACAUCUCCAAACAUCAGUUAUACUUCCUAACAUUUGGAACCUCUAGAGAGGUAUAAGACUGAAAUGCAAAACGCCUACAUGAAGAGAAAAUGGCUCAACUCAGAAAGGUUACAAUUUAAUGUAGUACAUAUUUGUCAUUUUGCUGUCUGAGGCUUCCACUUGCCUCUUACCAUCUCUACACCAGUAGUUCUAUCACCACAACUGGCCAUAACUGGAUGGGCAAUCCAAAGGACACAAAACCCUUGCAAACACUGAAGCAAAGUGCUCAACAGCCUUUAAAAAGAAUAUGGCACUGAAACGAAAGGACACAAUUUUUAAGCAGCAGCCACCUAAAGUUUGGAGCAGGUCUGGAAGGGAGACUUUUUAUGGAAAUAUUCUCUGUGUGCAGUUCAGAACCUGAAAAGCUUAAAAAUUGUAAGGUAAAGGUUUCUUAUUUACCUGCGACUUAGAGGUGCCAAGCUCACUUCUGUAAGUAAUUUGGUCCUGAAAACAGUAAAACUAGAAAACAUGAAACUUCCAACAAGGACUAAUUCCCCCUGCCAAAUAGUAGCUAUUAGUAGAUAUUCCUGAUGCGCAGAACUAUCACCUCUGGCAGGAUGUUGACAGCAUAUUAAAAGUCAAAGAAAGAAGAAACUGUAUUAAAAUGCCAGCCGCCCUUUCUAGAAGAAGAGCAAUGUUAACAUGAAUGUUUGCAGUUAGAACUAGAAAUAAUGAACCUAAACUUUGAACACAUCUUUUUGCCUCAAUGCCUUCAGUAAGUGCUUACAAGAAAACCAGAGUGGAAUGGUUUGGAGGGGUCAUGGAUAAGAAACUCAGCUAUCAAACAUUAUGAGCAGACACAUUUAUUCUGGUGGACACAUAUUCUCUAGUGUGUUGUCAUUAGCAGGUGAAUGUUGUUAGCAAUAGCUGUAAAUCCACUGUGGUGAUUUCUAACCUGUGGGCAUCUCCUGAAGUUCUGAAAAUGGAAUGAGCUCAUGCAUCUUUAAGAGUAGUAAGAAUUUACUACUUGUGUAGCUAAUGAUAUAGACUUACAGCACAUGUUCCUAUUUCCUAAAGACUAACAUUCAUCUGAAGAACUGAACACAUCAGGGACUUCUGGACUUCAAAGUAUGUGGUUUUUCAUGUACAGUGCUGGAGGGGAAAAAAAAAGAGAACAAAAGGCUUUUUUCAUAUUGUUAGCCAUACCUAUCUCUUAGUUCUAAAACCUAGUGUCUGGUAACAAUUUGACGAUGAAGAUUAACCUCCAAGUAAACCCUGGCUCUACUUUCCUCAGUAUCCUGAACUGAAUAGCAGUGUUUAACUAUACUGCUGGUUCAUGUGCCUUGAAAAUCUUACAAUGUGAAUACUGACAAAGUAAUUGCAUUUCUGGCUCUUGCAUCAAAUGCUGUUGUCCAUCUUGUUUGACUUCUUUAUUUGUCUGCAUGUCAGAGGUCUGGCAAGGAGGUUGAAAAGCCCCCCUCACUUCUUCUGUGAAUGCGUGCCCCAUAAUAGCUGUCCAUAGCCUCAGAAGGAUGCAAAGUAGAGAUGCCAAAGAGAUAGAUAGGGUGAAGUGCUGCUGCAUUCAUGUGAUGAGGAUCUCCCAUCUUUCCU
ensembl:lncRNA